ACUUGUGGAAUAGCUCAGUCGGUAGAGCAUCAGACUUUUAAUCUCAGGAUUGUGGGUUCGAAACCCACCCUGGGUG